GUGCUCGCUUCGGUAGCACAUAUACCAAAAUUGGAACAAUACGGAGAAGAUUCACAUGGCUCCUGCUCAAGGAUGACAUGCAAAUUCAUGAAGUGUUCCAUAUUUUU
ensembl:snRNA U6 U6 spliceosomal RNA